AAUGAACGCUGGCGGCGUGCCUAACACAUGCAAGUCGAGCGCGAACGUCCCUUCGGGGGCAAGUAGAGCGGCGAACGGGUGAGUAACACGUGGGAAUCAACCCUUUAGUGAAGAAUACUCUCGAGAAAUCGAGCUUAAUGCUGCAUAAGUCCCUUCGGGGAGAAAGGUGGCCUCUUGCUACCGCUAAAGGACGAGCCUGCGCGCUAUUAGCUAGUUGGUGGGGUAAAGGCCCACCAAGGCGACGAUGGCUAACCGGCCUGAGAGGGUGUACGGUCACACUGGAACUUAGACACGGUCCAGACUCCUACGGGAGGCAGCAGUGGGGAAUAUUGCGCAAUGGGCGAAAGCCUGACGCAGCGACGCCGCGUGGAGGAUGAAGGUUUUCGGAUCGUAAACUUCUGUUAAGUGGAAAGAAAGACUCGUCCUUAAUACGGACGGGGGAUGACGGUACCACUAGAGAAAGCACCGGCUAA
rnacentral:rRNA from 1 species